rnacentral:rRNA from 1 species
AUUGAACGCUGGCGGCAGGCCUAACACAUGCAAGUCGAGCGAGCGGCGGAAGGGUGCGUACUGUGUGGGGUCUGCCCGAUCGAGGGGGAUAACUACUGGAAACGGUAGCUAAUACCGCAUACUAUCGGAUAACCCAUAUUUGAUUAGCUAGUAGGUGAGGUAAUGGCUCACCUAGGCGACGAUCCCUAGCUGGACUGAGAGGAUGAUCAGGCACACGGGGAGUGAGACAGGGCACAGACUCCUACGGAGGCAGCAGUGGGGAAUAUUUCACAAUGGAGGCAAGCCUGAUGCAGCCAUGCCGGGUGUAUGAAGAAGGCCCUAGGGUUGUAAAGUACUUUAAGUAGGGGGGCGUUACCGACAGAAGAAGCGCCGGCUAACUCCGUGCCAGCAGCCGCGGUAAUAC